AAAUAAAUUUUUUAUGGUUUAAUAAUUUAUUAUAAAUUUAUUUUACAUAUAAAUUUUAGUGUUAAAUUUUAAUUAUUUAAAUAAUAAUUAAUUUAAUUAAGUAGUAAUUAAUAUUAAAAAUUUAAGUAAUUAAGAUUUAGUAAUAUUUAAAUUAAAAACUAAUUUUGUGCCAGCAGUUGCGGUUAAACAAAAUUUAAAUUAAAUUUUAUUGGUAAUUAAUAAAUAAUUUAUAAUUAUAUUUUAAAUUUUAAAUUAUUAAGUGAAAUUUUAAUUUAAUUAAAAUUUAUAAUAAUAUUUAUGAUUUGAUAUUUUUUAUGAUAAACUAGGAUUAGAUACCCUAUUAUAAAAAUUUAAAUUAAUAAUACUAAAAUAGUAUAUAAUUAUUUAUUGAAACUUAAAUAAUUUGGCAGUAUUUUAGUUCAUUUAGAGGAAUCUGUUUAUUAAUUGAUAAUCCACGAAUAAAUUUACUUAAUUUAUUUAAUUUGUAUAUCGUUGUUAAUAAAUAUUUUUUAAUAAAAAUAAUAUUUUAAAAUUUUUAUAUUAAAAUUAAAUCAGAUCAAGAUGCAGUUUAUAAUUAAGAAUAUAAUGGAUUACAAUAAAUUUAUUUAAAUGAAUAUUAAUUUUUAAAAAUUAAUUGAAAUUGGAUUUAAAUGUAAUUUUAAUUAGUUUAUUAAAAUGAUUUAUAAUUAAAAUAUGUACAUAUUGCCCGUCACUUUCAUUAAUAAAUUGAAAUAAGUCGUAACAAAGUAGAGAUACUGGAAAGUGUUUCGUAGAGAUA
rnacentral:ncRNA from 1 species